UGCCAGCCGCCGCGGUAAUACGGAGAGUGCAAGCGUUGUUCGGAAUUACUGGGCGUAAAGGGCAUCUAGGUGGACUAGUAAGUCAGGUGUGAAAGCCCUCGGCUCAACCGAGGAAGUGCAUCUGAAACUACUAGACUUGAGUAUUGGAGGGGACAGCGGAAUUCCUGGUGUAGAGGUGAAAUUCGUAGAUAUCAGGAGGAACACCAGUGGCGAAGGCGGCUGUCUGGCCAAAUACUGACACUGAAGUGCGAAAGCGUGGGGAGCAAACAGGAUUAGAUA
rnacentral:rRNA from 1 species